AUUGGCAAUACAGUUAACAUGUGAUCCUCAUAUUACAUAUUAAAAAUGAACAAACAUUUUAAAAGUGAACAUACAUUAAAGCAUUCUGGCUUAGUCGUAGGGGUGCAGCUAUAUGAGCCCAUGGAGUAGGAGGGGGGGAAAUCCGGAUGGGGUUAGUGGCCGGACUACGGCCCCUGGUGCGCCUCUCCCUCUCUAUAGAGCACCCAACUCUGCCAUCUUGAUUUAUACCUACUUUGGCUAUUUGUCAGCCGGCUAGCCAUACGUUCAUAAGCAUGGGAUGAGUCCAGCCUGCUGAGGAUUUCUGGCAGUGUUGGUGUCAGUGGUGAUUUCCAUCUAUGUGCGAUGGCAGUUUUGGUAGCCAUGAGACAAUGAAUCGCGAAAGGGAUUGCUUCCAUAGGGAGGGUAUUCAGAAAAAUAUGUAGUAGAAAGCACUCUGGGGAUUGGGGAAUUCGCACUCCCAAAAUUUUGUACAGAAGAGCGUGUAUAUCCCGC